GACGAACGCUGGCGGCGUGCUUAACACAUGCAAGUCGAGCGAUGAAGCACCUUCGGGUGUGAAUUAGCGGCGAACGGGUGAGGAACACGUGAAGAAUCUGCCUUCAACUCUGGGAUAACUCCGGGAAACCGGGACUAAUACCGGAUAUGAGCCUUGAUCGCAUGAUCGGGGCUGGAAAGUUUUUCGGUUGAAGAUGACUUCGCGGCCUAUCAGCUUGUUGGUGAGGUAAUGGCUCACCAAGGCGACGACGGGUAGCUGGCCUGAGAGGGCGACCGGCCACACUGGGACUGAGACACGGCCCAGACUCCUACGGGAGGCAGCAGUGGGGAAUAUUGGGCAAUGGAGGAAACUCUGACCCAGCGACGCCGUGUGAGGGAUGAAGGCCUUCGGGUUGUAAACCUCUUUCAGUAGGGAAGAAGCGAAAGUGACGGUACCUACAGAAGAAGCACCGGCUAACUAUGUGCCAGCAGCCGCGGUAA
rnacentral:rRNA from 1 species